AUGGCGGGCGCGGGCUUUUAUCACGCAACAUUUCGUGAUGGAGCCAGUGGUUGUAUUCAUAUUGGUUUGGGUUCAGAUAGAAGAGCUCCAUGCUUACAAACUUUUGGGAUAACCGAGUUUAUCAAUGCCAAAGUCCUGCAGGAGCGCGGCGCUUUGCUGACCAAGAAGAUUGAGAGGGGGCGCCAAUUGCUAGAGAGCGAGAAGGCCCGAACUGCUGCGUUGGAGGCCUCAGUAUCCGAUUGCAUCUCCGAGGAGCAAUAUUGCGAGAUGCGUUGUCGUCUUGCGAGAUGCGUUGUCGUCUUAGCUUGGUUUGUAAGGAGGCCAGCAAUUAUCAGAGCAUCGCCGAGUUGGAUGCUUUGGAGGCCUGUUCCUGCCAGGAAUUAUUGUUGA
rnacentral:rRNA from 1 species